UAGAACAAUAGCUCAUCUCACAUUUCUGAACUAAUUGGGGAUCAAACGAGGUAUUAUUAAUUGGUGAAGUAUGAUCAUUCAUUCUUCUGUUUGGUCGGACAAAUACCCGAGCAGGCAUAUACAAUAUUAACUCUGACUACAAUCAGACAGCUACAACGUUUUUAACAGGAAUUGCCCCUAAGAUGAGAUAGUAUGGCAAGUUCUUUACAUUCUCCAGGGUUGGAGUUACACAAAGAAUUGGUUUUCUAAGGGUCUCCAUUUUCCAGGAUAACUUCUCAAUAAAAACUAUAUACUAGCUUAUUCAUCAGAUCCAAUUUUGAAUAUCAUAUCGGACACAAGUAAAGAGCAUGGUGGCAUAAUGGCUCCUAACAAUCUUAAUCAGGAUCAUCUGAGGAUUGGGGUUAUAAUGUCAAACACUCUGAGGAUCACCUUAGGAUUGGAGGUUAUAAUGUCAAACAUUCUGAGGAUCAUCCUAUGAUUGGAGGUUAUAAUGUCAAACAUUCUGAGGAUCACCUUAGGAUUGGAGGUUAUAAUGUUAAACAUUCUGAGGAUCAUCUGAAGGUUGGAGGUUAUUGUCAAACAUUCUGAGGAUCAUCUGAGGAUUGGAGGUUAUAAUGUCAAUCAUUCUGAGGAUCACCUUAGGAUUGGAGGUUAUAAUGUCAAACAUUCUGAGGAUCACCUUAGGAUUGGAGGUUAUUGUCAAACAUUCUGAGGAUCACCUUAGGAUUGGAGGUUAUUGUCAAACAUUCUGAGGAUCACCUUAGGAUUGGAGGUUAUAAUGUCAAUCAUUCUGAGGAUCAUCUGAGGAUUGGAGGUUAUUGUCAAACAUUCUGAGGAUUGGAAGGUGUAAUCACCAACAUUCUGAGGAUAUAUCCAAAUACUCUUUUGACCAUCAGACACAAUUCAAAUAAUGAUUUUUUUUUAAAUAAAUCAUAAAGAAAGCAAAA